CCCUAAUAGGUCAGGCAUAAGACAUAUAUUAACAAGACCGAGGUAGACGC
rnacentral:rRNA from 1 species